AACCAAAAAAAAAAAUCAACCAGAAGGAAAAUCAUGUAGUAUUCAUUAGUGAUAACUGUGAUCAGGCAAUGUUGUCCCAAUCACAAAAUUAUCUAAUUUUUGGAUUCAUUCAUGGAAAUCUCUUGCGAAGUUGCAUCAUACAUUUGAAAAUCAUACUAAGUUCCCCUUCAAAAAUAAUUAAAGGAACAUGUAGAAAAAUAGAAAUACUGAUGCCUAGUGAACAGAAGCCGUAAGGUUGAAGUUUUAAGUAAUAUGCUCCUAGGAUACUAUCAAGUUGUCCA
rnacentral:misc_RNA from 1 species